rnacentral:rRNA from 1 species
AUUGAACGCUGGCGGCAUGCCUAACACAUGCAAGUCGAGCGGAGCGGCGGACGGGCGAGUAAUGCCUAGGAAUCUACCUGGUCGUGGGGGAUAACGUCCGGAAACGGGCGCUAAUACCGCAUACUAUCAGAUCAGCCUAGGUCGGAUUAGCUAGUUGGUGGGGUAAAGGCCUACCAAGCCGACGAUCCCUAAGUGGUCUGAGAGGAUGAUCGGUCACACUGGAACGGAGACACGGUCCAGACUCCGACGGGAGGCAGCAGUGGGGAAUAUUGGACAAUGGGCGAAAGCCUGAUCCAGCCAUGCCGCGUGUGUGAAGAAGGUCUUCGGAUUGUAAAGCACUGUAAGUGGGGAAGCGUUACCUACAGAGUAAGCACCGGCUAACUACGUGCCAGCAGCCGCGGUAAUAC